rnacentral:rRNA from 1 species
GACGAACGCUGGCGGCGUGCUUAACACAUGCAAGUCGAACGGAAAGGCCCUGCUUUUGUGGGGUGCUCGAGUGGCGAACGGGUGAGUAACACGUGAGUAACCUGCCCUUGACUUUGGGAUAACUUCAGGAAACUGGGGCUAAUACCGGAUAGGAGCUCCUGCUGCAUGGUGGGGGUUGGAAAGUUUCGGCGGUUGGGGAUGGACUCGCGGCUUAUCAGCUUGUUGGUGGGGUAGUGGCUUACCAAGGCUUUGACGGGUAGCAGGCCUGAGAGGGUGACCGGCCACAUUGGGACUGAGAUACGGCCCAGACUCCUACGGGAGGCAGCAGUGGGGAAUAUUGCACAAUGGGCGGAAGCCUGAUGCAGCAACGCCGCGUGCGGGAUGACGGCCUUCGGGUUGUAAACCGCCUUCGCCUGUGACGAAGCGUGAGUGACGGUAAUGGGUAAAGAAGCACCGGCUAACUACGUG